ACAGAUUGAACUCCUGUUCUACA
rnacentral:piRNA from 1 species